CUCGAUGCGAACAAGGGGCUCGCGGCGGGGGCGGGGGGCAGCAUCAGGUUGCCUAAGCCUCGCUGAGUAAGGCCAAGUUGCAGUAUGGUUUUCCAUUGAACAAAGAAACGAAGUAACUCGUUGCUCGCGGGGUUUGCUAUGCUGCGAGAACCUAGGAUAGGAAGGAACGUUUGUAGAGAGAUGCAAAUCCAAAAUUUUCAUCAAGGACUAAAAAAAAAUGUGCGGAAUUCUAGUAUUGUCUGCUAGGCCUUCACAGGGGCGGUCACGUUGAGUGAGGCUGAGGUACAUGUGGCCUAGCGUAUUGUUUGUGAGAGCAGCCAGCACUCGAUGCUUAGCAGUAGCUGGGUGCUGCUGCUCGUUUUUAGCCCUGGUUACAGUGUUUAGUCAAAGCAUUCCUAGUUUUGCAGGCAAAUCUUGUAGGAAGAUCACGGAGUCCGCAACACUUGCUUUUACUUUUUCUUUCCAUUUGUAGUUUGGGGUCUGUAACUAUCACUGAAAUAGUGCUUUUCAGAAGCUUUUAAUUGCUCUUCCAGAUUUUUCCUAGUGCUGGAGGGUGUUGCGCUUGCAGGUUCAUGACUCGGCGGGAAUACUGUUUAAUAUGCCCACCCUAUCUCCCUGGUCCUUUCACGAGCCCCCUCCAUUAGUCAUAUACAGUACAGUCACAGAGAUUUUAAAAACAGAUUUACAUAGGUUGAAGGAAAACCAUCACCAACCUGGAAUAUCUCAAGUCUUUUAGAAACCUCCAACAUUGUUCUGUGUUGCACUGCACAGCCGAAAAAAGACCAAGGAACCCGUGAUACUAGUGCCUGGCAUCUGUACAAUGGCAAAAGCAACUCAAAGUCCGUUGAACAUACUAAAGAUUAAAUAAAUAGUAAUAAAAAGGGGAGCUGGGGAAAAUUUACCAUCGUUUGACCAGUUCUGUAACCCUGAGAUUAUCCUGAAAGUGAGAAUAUCACAGGUUCCUUGAUAUUUGCAGAGGGCAAACAGCUCUUUCUCCUUUGAUACUAGUUAGCGAUGUGUGCAGAAAGAUCUGGAAUGAGAAGUUAAAAACAAGAGUCAUGCAAACAGCAGGUGUCAGUCAUUACAGUGGAAUUUGCCUGCCUUUUUAUUUUCAUGAACACACCCAUAGCAUAUUGGUUUGCCAUAUUACACUUAGAUGCUUUACAAACUAGGGAGAAGUGUGUUUGCUUUCGUUAGGGGUGGCUCAAUCUGCCGAUACCAUUCUUAAAGAUUCUUGAUGUUCUUCAUGUAUAUGUUUUUGAAUUCAAUAAAGUUGAGCAACGGUUACGCAAUUGAAAGCCUUAGCUAUGCCAAAAAGUUUUUCUGAAGCACGUUUUAAAAAAAGAUGCAAACAAUCUGCAGUAGCCAGUGAGCUGGUACCUGAUGUCUCCAAACUACUAAACAUGGAGGUCUGUGAAUACUUUAUUUUGCAGCAGAAUCCACAGCAAUUGGUGUCCACGGUGGCAGUCCUCUCCCGGUAGAAGCACACACAGUGGACAAUUUAAACCCAUUAACAAAGCAGAAUUAAUUAAAGUUCGUACUUUGUUGCUGAAAAACAGUACACUGCCAGAAGACAAUGGCAAUCAAUAAUUGCUACUUGAGUCAUGAAUGUGAAUACAUUAAUGAGCCUAAUUCUUCUGUGUCCUUUGGCCUGGGACCAUACAGUUUAUGGAAGCUCUUUCUUUAAACUGAGUGCAUGCGAAUCAUGCACUCAGUUUUUUGAACAUCAAAGUGGACUUAAAAAUAUAUGCCUUUGUUUCAUAUGUACACUCAUAGCAGGCUACAGUCACACGUACAGCAUUUGCAGUAUUGGUGAAGAGGCUACAGUCACACGUACAGCAUUUGCAGCAUUGGUGCCUAAACAGAUUUGGUGUCAGUGCUACGUUGCCUUUUGCCUUUCGUACUCGUCCUUCCUCAGCAUCAUCCUGCAGGUGCCAAGACCCCAUACCAGAGCGAUGGAAGGCUGCUAGGAGUGGAGGCUGGACCCUGACCCCUGCUACUGAAAAUGACUUUGGGAGGGCAUGAGCGCCUAGCUUGCCAAGCACGUAAAUGCACUUGGAGGAUACGACAUCUCAGCGUAUCACAUCUUCCAAAUCUGUGUGGUAUCUGUUGCGUCCGUGUUUGGUACCAUACCCUUGCACAUUUCUGCAGCGCCGGAGAGAUCUUUCACUAUCUCAGUGUCUGUGCUGUUUCAUUUGGGCUACAGCUAGGAGGAAUUCUUCCAUGCUUUCCAUCACAGUUACAAGCUCAAAACUGAGCACUGAGCUGCAUUGGCAAAGGAUGAUUGAGCCGAAAAGAAGGUGGCAUCACCUUCUGCUGCGCAAGUCUUCUGAGAAGGGAGAUUUAGGACAUAGCUCUGUUCUUGGCAUUUUCCAGUGGGUAACCUGACUACCUCAGUGCCUGACAUCCCCCAAUGAUUUUAUAGGUUUGUCAGCAAAAGAUUUCACAAAAGAUAAUACAAGAACGGGUUUCUCAGCAAAGAACUGCAAAUUGCUACAUGUAAUUACCUUAAUAGAAUAGAGAGGAUUUGUUUGGGAAAAGUAAGAAUCUGAAAUAGAAAAUCUCAAUUUCCUUACACAGUGAUAGAUGUUAGCUGUAAGAGAACUAUGGAAGGACAUUAGGCAGUAAAAUCCAUUAAUUUUCUGGGGUCAUAUGCAGUAGAUCAAGCUACAAGAAUGAAAAUUUACGAGAUCUCUCUUUACUUGCUGCAUUCAAAUUAGUUUUUAUGUGUAAGAAUUUUGAAAGUAGAAGCCUUUUUUAAUCAAAUCAUUUAAGAAUUUGUCUUCAAUUCUGUGUAUUGGAUCUGAUAAAUUAACUGGGAAUCUAGAAUCAUCUCUCAUCUAGUGAAAAAAAUUGCUUUUUUGGCUUUAAUACAACUUCUGAUUGGAAACAGUACACUGCUAGUAGGGGUUGAAUACUGGGUUUGCAUUGAUGUAAAAGAAAAAAUAUGACAUGAAAAGACUUGGCAUGAAAUUUGCUCAGGCUGGAGUAACAAAUACAGGUUUUUUUGCUCUGUCAAAUUAAGACAAAUUAAGAGGAAUUAGAUAUUUUUGAAAAAGAUGGAAGUCAAUUUUGGAGUCUAAAUUAAUAGCUCAGAGAAGCAGUGAAGAUUUUGAAGUCAUUCCCAGAAGGUGAUUUCUUUAAGCUCUUAACUCAUUGGUCUUAAAAGAAAACAGAGCAAUUCAGUAUUGCUAGUUAAAAUCUGAUUUUUUUUUUCCUCUGAAUAGCUUGAUAUGACACAAGAAGUGUAAUUAUGACCUCAGCCUUUUACAUAAACCUCUCUCUGUUUCAUAUUAACUUACUCUUUACCUUUCACUCCCUAAACUCUCCUUCUAUUGGUUUCAGUCGCAUUACUCCACAUUCCUCCUAGUAUUACUCAUUUUUGCUUACUCCAGUGAAGUUACUGGUGGUGACUGGCUUAAUCUGUCAAGAAAAGAUUCAAACCUUGUCCCCUUGUGGAGAGAAACAAUUUCUUUUUUCCAGGAUGUUGUCAUCUAAAAUGCAAAAAUCUGCUGCUGAGCUGGAUAUUAGGGUCUUCAAAUCGUCUACUCAUGAUACAAUAUUUCUUGUCUUUUACUUUCUUAGGAAAGCUGCAUUUCUUUUGAAAAAAAUCAGUAAAGCACUGUUAAAUACUCUAGUUCAGGCUCUACAGCAUUUGGAUGCUAAUCGAAGCCUACCUCUUCCACUCGUUUUUUGAGUUUAUGGAGUCAGGACUUCAAAUUUCCCGUCACAACGUACUCUAAUGGCUUUAAUACUGCAUAGCUCUUGUUAUGUAUUGGUUUUAAUUAUUAUUUCAUCAAUAGAAGCAUAAAGAAUUUCAUCAAUAGAAGCAUAAAGAAUUUGGAAUAUAAGUGUAAAUACUGAACGCUCACCAUGUUUUAAAAUCAAAAGUUUUUCCUUCAGACUGAUGUUGACCAGCUUAUUUUUUUAUAAGAAAAGAACAAGAACUUGAUGCAUUUGCAGAUUGAAGAGCAUGUUUAAAGUCAUCUUAGUUCAAACAUGUUUUCCAGCACAUUUAAAACUUAAGCCUGCUUUUCUCAUCUCAACACAUCAGUAUUCAAGAAAAAGUUGAGCAGAAUUUGAUUUAUCAGACCUUAUCAUGGUCAGACAAUUAUGUGAUCGCAGAAGUCAUAUUUAGACUGCAGAUCAGAGAUAGAUUUCGUCCACAUACAGAAAUUGCAUGCCUCUAAGUAAGCUGGUUUCAGAAACAGAAAAUAUAUGUGUCCGACUGCAACUGGCACUUGCAGUUAAUAUACCAGCCUUUAAACUGCAGCAGGUAACCUCUGGAAAAGGGGCAGGGCUGACAGUAGCAGUGCGGCAGCCGCCCUUGAAUUACCAGAGCACAUCUGUAGCAGGCCUCAGUGAGGUAAGAGGGGGUCAUACAGGAUCUUUGUAUCAAUUAAUUUCAUUGAUUUAGCAUCACUUCAUUUUCAUGGGCUACAAUUUUCAUGGGUUAGGUAGCUUCUCAGUUCUUUUUGCAAGGGUAAACGUAUAAUUGUAACAAAAAGGUUCGGCAUUUGCUUAGGGCUCUGAGGCAGAAGCUGUGAUAGAUGUCAAGGCCAUUUUAAGACACUGCCACCAGCAACAGGCUACUCACCAGUCAUUUUUCCUCUGUGACAAGGUUAGCAGACCCAUAACAAGGAGGCAGAUGCACGCCAAUAGGCUUGACGAUGCUUAGGGGCAGCGGUUAUAUGCAACGGCUCCAACUGUGGAAGUGAUACACUCUGUCAGAGGAGUGGGGAAGGCACUUGGACAGUGACGCCUUAAACCCCGGUGACUUUCUUCUUCAGUGCAUGCCUAUCAGUGCGUUUAAAUGACUGAAUUACCAAAAAGUCAAGGUAACUGACCUUGUGGAAAAAUGACUUUUCAGGCUAGCUCUCCUUGCUUUGAAAUCUCAGAAGGCUGGAUGCAAGAAGCCUAGCAGGCUUAGGUACUCCCUGAGUCAUGUUUUUCCACUGCAUGGACCUUGUAUGGUUACAGGCAGGGCUGGAGAUACGUGCAAAAUGCAGGCAGACAGAGCAGGUAAUGCUCCCUCUGUACUAGUGCAGAUGAUUACCCAAAACGCGCGACAACGGUAAAAUGAUGCCUCUGCUGCCAAGUGGUUCUGAGAAGUAGGCAGUUUCUGCUGUCAUCUCACGUUUGACUCAGCCCUAUUAGGUAAGACCUAAAAAGGUGGACAAGAAAGUGGGCUCUUUCGUGUGCAGCAGUUAAUAGCCAGCUUCUUCAGCCAGAAAUGACACCAUAGGAGCAGACAGUGAACCCUGUUUUCCCUACUCCUCAUAGCAGCCUAUCAUCAUAAGAAAGAUAAACAACAGCCACCUUGCUUUUGGAACAGGUUGGAAAUCCGCAGCAACGCUUGACUUUUUAUACCCUGGGUGAUCACUACACACUUACAAAGCAGUAUGCUCUGCAUGUGUGCCUAUACAUCUUGUCUCAGAUCUGUCCUGGGGGAAGUUACCAUGAGCAUAAUACUAACAGCAUUUCCAUCUGCUGGUAAGAAAACUGGGAAAAUGGCAUAUAAGAGAGGAUGGCAUCAAGCAUGGGACAGACUUUCAGAUCUCAGAGUAUAACCUCUUGCUUCAAUAACGGGGUCUUGCACCCUGGGACGCGAUGGCAGACAGUGAAUGACCUGAACUGCUGGGAACAUGCGUGAGUUUGUUCUUUGUCGUUCCCAUGCAGUCCUCUAGUGCAGACACGUUUUGUGUGCAAAUGCAGCUCUUGCAGAUAUAUCACAAUUGAACAAGUCCGUAGCUAUAGGCAUACGUAUAAAGAGGUGAAGGAUCAAGGCAUUAACCUGAACUAAACCAUACCAGAGCUGCUAGCACAGAACGCGAACACCGCCAAGCUACUGAGGGGAUGGAAAAGAACAGGCUGUAUCUUCAAAGGCACACAUCAGAGAGACAUAUUUAGCUCUUAUUCAUCCAGGAGAGUAUUUCUCACUAAUGGGGCAGGCCUGAAUUAUUUUUAGGGGUUGCAUCAUAAGUCUGCAGCUUUAAAAGAAAGGGAAAGAUGAGGCUAUCUUGUCAUAUGGAGAUUUAUCCUGUUGUGUUAGUGGGGAGUGAUGCGUGCGCAGGACUGGGAAGCUGAGGAAUGUAUAUUGAUAUAUGCAAGACAUGAUGUGCUGCAGUGCUCUGUCAAGUACAGCAUCAGGAUUUAGUAUUACUAGCUGUGACAGUAGUAGUCUACAAACCCUAACCUCACACAUGCUGUCCUUACUCUGGGCUGGGUAUGUCUAGCAGAUUGAACCCAAAUGAGUAUUUCAUAGCGAGAACCCUUUUAAGACUGAACAGUUUUAUAUGGGAACUACCUAACAGAGGCAUGCUUCAUAGGCUCACAGUAUUGAGAGCGUUAUCUAGUUUGCUACCCAUCUAAAUAGGUAGCUGUUUGGCUUUAGCAGACCUGUUCCAGCCUCAGUGAGACACUUCGGUCCUUCAGUGACCUUGUUCUGCAGCAGAAAGAAAAGGUGACUUUCCAAGCCUGACUGCAGCAUUGCAAUCAGCCCCGUCCGAGAGAGAUGGUUAGCGUUCCAGCCUGGCUCCCGAAGGCAGAACGAAGCAGCGGUGUCAAACGUUUUUCUGAGCGCAGGAGAGGCUCCCUGUUAAGGCAGCAAGCACGCUGCUGCCGCAGAACCACAUCCUGCUCCUGGUGGCCGGAGCUGGGGGAGGUGGCCAUUUUCCGAACCAUUAUCUGAUGUGCUUGUCAGAGCAGCUGCAGAAUCUAGAAAACAUCUAGCUGCAAUCAACGAACAAUGUUACCAGGUGUUUCCCCUACAGACAGAUCUAGUCAGUACAGAAGUGCUUCAUCUCAUGUAAAUACUAAGCAAAUCUUUCACCGCUUAGUCCAUUUGCAUAUUUGUAUUUACUGAACUGUGGAUCUGUCCAAAAUGAGUAAAAGGUAAGUUUAGCAAUAGCAGAACUAGCUGCACGCCAGACCUUUGGUACACACAAAAGUUGCAGCCAACAAGAAAUCUUUCCGACUCUACAGCCAUCUUUAAAACCAGUUUAAGUGUGUUGCCUGAGAGGACUACACACAUUUAAGUAGAUCACAACUGCUGCUUUUUUAGAACAAGAACUUUCACCGCUUUUGGUGUAAAGAUGAGUCUUUUGUUGUAGGCUUUUUGUAUUGAACCAAAUUGUUUAAAUUACAGCUAGUGUCCAAAUAUUAGAAAAGUAGCUGGCAAACGUAGAAGGGCAUAGAGCAGAAAGGAGGUAGUGCUGGGGAUGAGCUAACCAUGUCGGCUGGCUUGCUUUUUUCACUGUAGGAAUUGCUGUAAUGGGGUGUGAGCUGCUCAAACACUGCUUCAUGCUUUUGCUAGCUUUUUCUGCUAUAAAGCACUUUCAGGUGUCUUAUUAACCCCAAGAGAGUUUUUGUUCUUUUUUAUUUUUCAUACAGAAUGAUUCAAAGAAAGAAUCAAGUCCUUCCCCCUUCAUCUCUGCUCCUCCGUCAGGGAGGUUAUUUCUCUUCCAGCAUCUAAGUUGAAAUCUAAGCUCUACUGAGUCAAUGGCAAAUUUCCCACUGACUGCAGUAAAGCAAGAAAUUCUGUCCUUAUGGCUGGAGUAGGGCAUUUUAGACAGAAAAAUAGCACAGCUUCUUAGACUCUAUAUCACCUUACCAAGAGUAACCCGUUGAAUGAAGUGGCAGCGUAAUAAUUAGAAAGACACCUUUAACCAUCCUGACAGAAUGGGAAGACACUAAAUAUAUUGCUGUUAGUUGUAGUUCAUGAUCUUAAGUACAUGAAAGAAGUAUUAAUAAUAUACUUUGCUAAUAAUAUGGUGAUUAUUAGACCAGUUUAGAGUAUACUCUAUGAGGUUAACUGUAAGUGCAAACUUAAUUCCCAUGGCUAUUUUUCAGUGGUGAAUUUUAUGUGGCUAUGUUUAUUUAUAAGAGGAUCAUAUUUCUGGGCUUUUAUAAGUGGUUGUGUGCCAUCUAGUGGGUUAAUCUAGUUUUGCAGAAGAGCCAUAGGAUGAUGAUUUCUCUGUCAUCUCAGGCCAGUCACCACAGGACACAGAGGAUGGAUGGUUCUUUACAGUUGCACUGUUACCAAGACCCUCACUAGCAAACAAGAGGAAGUUUAAUGGUUAAUAUAUAGGCAAGAUUUUCCUAGCUGAUAUAACCAACAGCAAUAUUAAGUACACAAAAGAUAUCACCACUGAUAGACCACAAAUCACUUACAGACAGAGGAAAAGGAUAAUUUGCAGUAAUUAGCUCUAGCUGUCAGUGAGCUCUCUCUCCCCCCCCAAGAGCACUGAGGGGAAAAAAAAACAAAAAAAAAAACAGGAGUAUCAAUGUAGAUGACAAGGUCAAAACUUUUUCUGAUGCUUUUCAAUAGCAUUAAGAAAAGCCAUGGACACCUGAUAGAAACCAGCAGUGGGCAGCUGCUCUGUGUUACUGUAGGCAAGACCAAACACUUCUUGAAUCAGUAUCUCAGAACAGUUUCAGCACAAGUUAAUUAGAAAUAAGGGAAGACCUAAACAUUAAUGCUAGCAGGUCAUUUACUCGUGUAGAUGGACACGUUCUUCUCACUGAUUGAUGCAACUAGGGAUUAAUACCAUUACAAUCAAAGUUUCCCAAACUGUAUAGUAGCAUACAUUAGAAUAGGAUUUCUGUUUAAUAUACUUCUCCUUUUAGUCAACAUAACAUAAUAAUUUUGUCUUUUAUUUUUGGAACAGAUCUCAGUCUGAAUUAGGAGUUUCUUAAAGAUGCUCUCAACCUUAUCUAGGUCCUGGAAAGACCCACAAUACCAUUUACUAAUACUUCCCUAAAUUAAUGACAAGCAGAUCUGACAAGUAUAUGUAUGUAUGUGUAAUAACACUCCACCCCUUCCCCCCCCUCCUCCAGUGGGCACCUUUAAAGCAGGAAGUCUGCAUAUGUUACGAGGAUGGCUGCACAAGGCAGCCAGGAGAGGAGCCAGGGCUGGUCUGGGAUGCUGGCACGCUCUACAGCCGAGGUGGACUCCAGGCCCAGCGCGAGUCCCUGCAGCACCACAUGCCAAGUGUGGGAAGAGAGAGGUUAGACACCCUGGGACAAGAGCCAAAGGCAGCUGGCACGCUCAGCGAGGAACCGCCAGAGUCAGCACAGUCCUCCCCAGACCUUGUCAGUAAGAAGCCGUGAGGAUAUAGGCAAGUCCCACGUCCUUUUCCUCUUUGGAGGUUAUUCAUGGCUGCUGACAAGCAUCUUCACAGCCCUGACCCCUCUACAGAGCUGUAUGUCCUUUUACCAAGUUCAGUGCAGAAGCCAGUCACCCAGAAGAUGUUUGGACGCUCCUCUUAGAUUGGCUGUUAGAGGUGGUGUUCAAUGGUGGUGCUCCAUUUUCACCUUCAUUCCUCUCAGAUAAAGCCCACAGGACCAACUAGAACUAUUUCCCUCCUCAGCAGGGAGAAGGGGCUCGAUCACCUCUGAAGAAACAUUGCUCUGUGGAGACAUCUCAAAGCGAGGGCUUUGUAAUGCAAACAGUUUCUCAGGACAACAUUACAUUGAAAGAAACAUGACAAAAAAAUUGCUGUACACAAUCUGUCAUAGAAACUAUGCAAAGUCUGCGUACUUUUAGGUUCAAAUAUUCAAAUAUUACCAGCAGAGCUGGAAGAAAGACUUUCUGUGACUUUGGCUUUGUUCUGAAACAGAAGGUGACUUUUGCUGACUCUACAUGGUCUUGAAAAAUGUCGGACUUUUGCUUUGGUGUUACGAUGAAACUAAUAAAAAUGAUUGGCAUAGAUCAA